CUGGCAGCAUUUACUACUCUCAGAAGCCACUCUCAGGAACACAAACACACAGUGGACUAUGAUAAUACAUCAUCUAAGCAACCGAAACCCGAAGCUUAAUCUAUUCUCUACACCAAAGAGGAGACUGGAUCACAUAAAUCAUCGGAGAGGUGAAAUUUGUCAAAGGCAUUGAUUAUCAACAUCAUUAACAACAAUAAUAUUACUGCUGCUGCUCCUGGUCCUUGCGAUAUCGCCCAGCAGGCAGAUGGAAUGGAUUUCCCGGAUGUGGAAAAGGAGCGGGACGCCGGCACGCCAGCUCGGCCUUCCACCGUGCUACGGCACGCCGCCCCUUCCCUUCCCCAGCCCUGGUCCUGCCGCCUCCUCCGGCAACCAUGACGCCACGAGAGGAGGGUGUCGUUAUUCAAACAGGGCCUUUCCGCGAUGACGGCAAUAUCUGGGGCUUUACAAUCCGACCCCUCUGGGUCCCGAGCGUCCGCACAGAAGGGAACUACAGAGCCUUCCAAAUAACACGUUUGUUCCACUUAAAAAAAAUAAACCUAAUAAUUCCUAAUUCCUAAUAAUAAGCAGGUUAAUGACACUCGGCAAGGCUGCGCUGUUUUCUGCAUACUGGACGGUGCUGCAGUAGUGACGAUAAGACAUCAGAUAUUCCAUGAUCACAAACGGCACCUAGGCGUUUAUUUGGCCCUUUUGCUGUGCGAGGAUGGGGAAAACCGGGAUAUCCGUUUUCACGAAUGAGGUUUUUCUUUCCGUGGGAUCCACCCCCCAAAGCAAGGUGGCGACACCAAUAACCGUUUCACAGCCAGCUCGCAGAGCUUGUUUCUGCAGGAUCUUUGUGCCGAAUCACACUGCCUCGAGCCUGUGCGAUGACCUUUCCAUGGGACUAGUUCAUGGACGAGUGGGAACAAACAUUCAGCCUUGAAUACAACAUUCACAGCACAUGUGGUUUAUUUCAACAUAUUCCAACUGCUG